AAGCAGGACAGUAAACAGGUCCAGGUGGACCUCCAGGACCUGGGCUACGAGACUUGUGGCCAAAGCAAGAAUGAGGCUGAACAGGAGGAAACCACCAGUCCCGGAAAUAUGAUUCCCUGAUUCAGGAUCAGGCCCGGGAACUGUCUUACCUACGGCAAAAAAUACGAGAAGGGAGAGGUGUUUGUUAUCUUCUCACCCAGCAUGCAAAAGAUACAGUAAAAUCUUUUGAGGAUCUCCUAAGGAGUAAUGACAUUGACUACUACCUGGGACAGAGCUUCCGGGAGCAACUGGCCCGGGGAAGCCAGCUGACAGAGAGGCUCACCAGCACACUCAGCACCAGUAAGUUGGCCACAGGGCUUUGGAAUACUCUCAGUCACCCCACAGUUCCAGCCCCUGGUGGCCACCACAUCUCCACUGCAACUUUUUAACGGAGGGUCCUGUUUCUAUUUCAUUUCCUGGGGCUAAUACAGGAUCAAGACUGCUCAAUGGGGAGCAUGGAGAGGAACACACAGGGCUGGAGAUGCCAUGGUUACAACUCUAGAAACGUCACCACUCAUGGAAUGUGACCUGUGGGGCAGGGGAGACAUCUCUCUGGUGCUAAGAGGGAGUAGGGGACAUGAGAUGGAAGGGCCUUGUUAUAGGAGGAAGAGCCGUGAACUAAGAAUUGCAAGACGUCAAGGCGCUGAGGCCAAAGGAUCCGUGAGGAAACAGGCACAGCUCACGCCCCUCGGCCUACGGAAGGGAGGGCAAGGAGGGUUCUACGGUUCCUGGGAGGACGCGAAGAGCCAAGAGCCCCGACGGCCGGCGCCGGGGAAAAGGCCCCGACGCGGGGUCCGCAUCCCUGGAAGGGCGGCGUCCACAUUCCUGAGAGGCA
rnacentral:lncRNA from 1 species